UUUUGGUGGCCGAAAUUAUAAGCGAAAAAUUGUAAAUUUUUUUAUGACUUAGUCCCAAUU
rnacentral:tRNA from 1 species